GACGAACGCUGGCGGCGUGCCUAGUACAUGCAAGUCGAGCGGACGGAUGGGAGCUUGCUCCCAGACCGUCAGCGGCGGACGGGUGAGUAACACGUGGGCAACCUGCCUGUAAGACUGGGAUAACUCCGGGAAACCGGGGCUAAUACCGGAUAACUCUUUCCCUCACAUGAGGGAAAGCUGAAAGAUGGCAUCUCGCUAUCACUUACAGAUGGGCCCGCGGCGCAUUAGCUAGUUGGUGAGGUAACGGCUCACCAAGGCGACGAUGCGUAGCCGACCUGAGAGGGUGAUCGGCCACACUGGGACUGAGACACGGCCCAGACUCCUACGGGAGGCAGCAGUAGGGAAUCUUCCGCAAUGGACGAAAGUCUGACGGAGCAACGCCGCGUGAGUGAUGAAGGUUUUCGGAUCGUAAAACUCUGUUGUCAGGGAAGAACAAGUACCGGAGUAACUGCCGGUACCUUGACGGUACCUGACCAGAAAGCCACGGCUAACUACGUG
rnacentral:rRNA from 1 species